rnacentral:rRNA from 1 species
GACGAACGCUGGCGGCGUGCCUAAUACAUGCAAGUCGAACGCAGUGGGGACGGGUGAGUAACACGUGGGUAACCUCCCAUCAGAGGGGAUAACACUUGGAAACAGGUGCUAAACCGACACUGAUGGAUGAACCCGCGGUGCAUUAGCGAGUUGGUGAGGUAACGGCUCACAAAGGCCACGAGGCAUAGCCGACCGGAGAGGGGGAUCGGACACAUGGGGACUGAGACACGGCCCAGACUCCUACGGGAGGCAGCAGUAGGGAAUCUUCGGCAAUGGACGAAAGUCUGACCGAGCAACGCCGCGUGAGUGAAGAAGGUUUUCGGAUCGUAAAACUCUGUUUUGAGAGAAGCGGUAUCUAACCAGAAAGCCACGGCUAACUACGUGCCAGCAGUCGCGGUAAUAC